GAUGAACGCUGGCGGCGUGCCUAAUACAUGCAAGUCGAGCGAACAGACGAGGAGCUUGCUCCUCUGACGUUAGCGGCGGACGGGUGAGUAACACGUGGAUAACCUACCUAUAAGACUGGGAUAACUUCGGGAAACCGGAGCUAAUACCGGAUAAUAUAUUGAACCGCAUGGUUCAAUAGUGAAAGACGGUUUUGCUGUCACUUAUAGAUGGAUCCGCGCCGCAUUAGCUAGUUGGUAAGGUAACGGCUUACCAAGGCAACGAUGCGUAGCCGACCGGAGGGGGUGAUCGGCCACACGGGAACUGAGACACGGUCCAGACUCCUACGGGAGGCAGCAGUAGGGAAUCUUCCGCAAUGGGCGAAAGCCUGACGGAGCAACGCCGCGUGAGUGAUGAAGGUCUUCGGAUCGUAAAACUCUGUUAUUAGGGAAGAACAAAUGUGUAAGUAACUAUGCACGUCUUGACGGUACCUAAUCAGAAAGCCACGGCUAACUACGUG
rnacentral:rRNA from 1 species